rfam:TPA: Bos taurus chromosome 14, whole genome shotgun sequence.
UCCCUGGUGGUCCAGUGGCUAAGACUCUGUGCUCCCAAUGCAGUGGGUGUGGGCUCGAUCCCUGGUCAGGGAA